UACGUAGGUGGCAAGCGUUGUCCGGAUUUACUGGGCGUAAAGAGCGCGCAGGCGGUCGUUCAAGUCGAGUGUGAAAGCCCCCGGCUCAACUGGGGAGGGUCACUCGAUACUGAUCGACUCGAAGGCAGAAGAGGGAAGCGGAAUUCCCGGUGUAGUGGUGAAAUGCGUAGAUAUCGGGAGGAACACCAGUGGCGAAGGCGGCUUUCUGGACAGUGACUGACGCUGAGACGCGAAAGCGUGGGGAGCAAACAGG
rnacentral:rRNA from 1 species